UGUCGAAAGGCGCCCAAUCUUUAAAACUUUUAUAUUUGUUCUGAAACAAUGAAAAUUUAAAACUUUCAACAACGGAUCUCUUGGUUCUCGUAUCGAUGAAGAACGCAGCAAAGCGCGAUAGGUAAUGCGAAUUGCAGACGUGAGUCAUUGAAUUUUUGAACGCAUAUUGCGCUAUUAGUUUGUCUAAUAGCAUGCUUGUUGGAGUGAUAAUCUUCCUCUCAACCAUUUUUGGUAUGAGGUCUUGCUCCUUUUAGGAGUUAAAAUCAUGGAAGUGCACACGUUAAUUAACUCUGUGCAGUUAUACACUUUUCAUCCUCCAAUCAAGCAAGGUUACCCGCUGAACUUAAGCAUAUCAAUAAGCGGAGGAA
rnacentral:rRNA from 1 species